UAAUACGAAGGUGGCAAGCGUUAUUCGGAUUUACUGGGCGUACAGGGAGCGUAGGCGGUUCGGUAAGCCCUUUGUGAAAUCUUCAGGCUUAACCUGGAAAAGUCGGAGGGGACUGCCGGGCUAGAGGACGGGAGAGGAGCGCGGAAUUCCCGGUGUAGCGGUGAAAUGCGUAGAGAUCGGGAGGAAGGCCGGUGGCGAAGGCGGCGCUCUGGAACGUUUCUGACGCUGAGGCUCGAAAGCGUGGGGAGCAAACAGGAUUAGAUACCCUGGUAGUCCACGCCUUAAACUAUGAAUACUAAGUGUCGGCGGGUUACCGCCGGUGCCGCAGCUAACGCAUUAAGUAUUCCGCCUGGGAAGUACGGCCGCA
rnacentral:rRNA from 1 species